AAUGAACAAAAGGAAGUGCACUCACUGUAAUUGCUGGGCAUAGCCUUGUCCCUGGGUAAAAAGGCUCUCCUUUACUGUCUUCCCUUUUGCUUUCAUUCAAAGCAACUGUAGAAACACGUGUAAGUGAUGUUUCAGAAAUCAGGAAAGGGAUGUGUAGAAAACUUCAUGGCAGGGCAGUGGAUUGAGGAUGGACAUAUGUAUCUGGAAGCACCAAAAAUAAUGUUCGGUCUAGCUAAGGUUUUCUUCAUCAUUGAGAUACGUAAAUAGGCAGAAAGUUUCAUUAUUGUGUUUAACAGAGGAAUCUAUGUGUGAGAAACACGUUUGACUUAACACUUCACUCCCCAUUGCCUUGGAAGGCUUGAUUAUUACCAGUAGCUGGUACUAAUGAACUUCCAGAGAGAACAGACUGCCUCAAGCCAUUCUUCUGUCAAGGGAGGGUAAUUUUGUAAGGCUAAUAUCACUUAGGGGUGUUGGAAAGGAACAUGUUGUAGGCAAAUGGUUCUUUUGAUCAUGAUUUUGCUGCUCUCCGGUACACUAAACUUUAUGUAAGUAUCAGGAUUCCAGAGAAAGAAUUGGACUUAACAAAAAGUACUUUGAAAAGUGGGAUUAAAUUAUUGUGUGUGGAAUAAGUGUUAGAAAAGCAGAAUUAUUUAACAUCUUAUUUGCAGUUGAGUCAUUAAACAAAUGAAACAUUUUGAAAAUAAUUUCAUAAAAUGAUACUAUGAGGUAUCUGUUUUUCAGGGAUUGAAGAAGUAAAGUGCACUGAGUUCAGUUUUUUAAAGGUGCCUUUCUGAAGACAUAGCUAGUGACCGAGGAUUUCCUAAGAUCUGUGAGAUUGCUCUUUAUUUUCUCCUGUUAUAUUUUUUAAGUUGGCCAAAAUUAUUUUUGAAAUGUGUAUCUAAGUAUUUCUGUUUAACUUUUGACUUGUUAAAGUUUCUGUGUUCAAGUUUGAAUACUCUUGAAGUCUUAUUUUUUUCAUUUUCAGAUUUUAAAAUUUUCAAAGAAAAGGCGUUGCCUGAUGUCUGAAAUCUCAGAUGCCUGAAAUUCAAUUGACAAUUACUGAACAACAGUCUCUUAUUUACAUAAAGGUGGGGUUGUCAAUCUUGGCUCUCAGAAUUUUCUCUUGUAGGCACUGUGUAGCUAAAGGUUAUUUAAGGUGAUUUCAGAGGUAGAUAGAUUACUCAGUGAUUACUACCCUGUUGCAAAGAUAAUGCGGUAGAGUAACCCAGUAUCAGUUACGUUAGAUUGCUCCCACUGGGAGGCAGAUAUGUUAACUUUGGGUCAUGGUUGAUUAAAAGGUCAAAAGAGAUCUUAGAGUUUACCUCUAACAUCACUUUUUACUAUGAAAUGUUUUAUGCUUGGACUUGGUUUUGCUGAAAUUUUCCUCAACUUUUGGUAAUAUUCUUGCUAAAUGAAAUUCAUAAAACUAUGAGUUUAAAACUUGUAAGUUAAAAGUUAAAGUAUUUUCUUACAAGCAUUGUGAUUAACUGUAAAAAUAUGUACUUUAAACUUCUAGUUUAAACUAACUUGACUAGGAUACUUGACUUGUUCUUGGAUCAGAAAUGACAUCCUGGAAGAAAUCAUGCAUAGUGGAGGAGGUGGGAAGGGGGAAAGGUUUGUGUGUAGUGAGGUUGAGGUUUCUCUUUCUGUCCUCCCCCCCCCUUUAAUGACAAGGUUAUAUGUAUACAUGUAUGUUUCGAUCAACAAUUUAUGACAAGUAGGCAAGGUGUCAUGUGUCACUGUGUGUUUUGAUGUUUAGCAUAUUCACUCCCCAACUCCAGUUACUCCAUGGGCUGUAGCUAACUAAUUAUUUCCCAUGAAUUAAAGUACCGUGACUGUUUUGUGCAUCUAUUAAAUCUCCCUCCCAGUUCAAAUUUCACAUACCCUUAAACAAGUGAUGCAUAUUGUGCUUUGCUAUUACAGAGCAUGUGAAGCUAGAAAUGAGUAGUGUGAAAGAACUAGGUCUAGCCACCACUUUUCUAGCCUUUCUUUUGAUGUUGAACUUUAAAUACAGUAAACUUUAAAAUAAGCAGUCAAAUCAUACAUAAGAAAUGUAAGUAGUUAUGUAAGUGUUUUGGCACUGACUUUUUUAAAUUAUGAAAAUGAAACAUGACAUUGUAAAUUCAAACAGUAAGUGUAAUGACAAGUGAGUUUCUUUAUCACUAGCUGCUAAGCUCCAUGCCCUAGAGACCACCCUUCACAAUUUCUUACAUUAAUAUGACCCUCUAGAAAUUUUUCAUGCAUACACAUGUGUAUAUAAAAUUAUAGGAUCAUUUUAACUGAUACUUUUUGGGAGGCUGAGGCGUAUUUUAACAGAUGGCAAAUACAAAUCUGAUUAUUGUGCCUGUAUCAUCACUUGCUGUACAAAAGCCAGGAAAAUCAGUGUUGAUUCUGAAAACAGCGCUCUCUUAAGCACCAUACACAGUCAUCCAGGGUGCAGGGUGCAGUGCAUCCUCGGAUAAAAAGAGUUAAAGUUGCUAUGGGAACCAGAAUUGCACUUUCUGCUUGUUGUGGGGAGAAAUCUCCACCAGCCACUUUUCUAAGAAGAAGUCUUUUUUGUUUCACCUUCAACUUCUGGAUGGAUUAUUCAGUUGCUGUUAAAAAGUUUGGGUUUUAUGUCUUAUAAGUUAUAGUAAGUUUUUAUCAGUACCAGUGGGGUAGUAGUUGAUACUAAGAUUGUAGCUAAGGAUUUGCCUUUUAUCAAACAGCCCCAUUAAUUAAUUUGAUAAUCAUUGUGGAUGGAAACUUGGCAGACAGGAUCCUAAUCUUGAGAAAGGUAGCUUUUCCUCUUUCUAAAAACAAUUAGAUUAAGGAAAAGAGUGCUUAUAAAACCAACCCAAUCAAAGUUUAUGAAACUCCUAAAAUUAA
rnacentral:lncRNA from 1 species